AUACGGAGGUGGCAAGCGUUGUUCGGAUUUACUGGGUGUAAAGGUCAUGUAGGCGUCUUAUUAAGUCGGAUGUGAAAUCCCUUGGCUCAACCAAGGAACUGCACUCGAUACUGGUAAGAUUGAGUACGGGAGAGGUAAGCGGAAUUCCGGAAGUAAGGGUGAAAUCUGUAGAUAUCCGGAAGAACACCAUUAGCGAAGGCGGCUUACUGGUCCGAUACUGACGCUGAAAUGAGAAAGCUAGGGGAGCGAACAGGAUUAGAAACCCCGGUAGUCC
rnacentral:rRNA from 1 species